ACGUAAACAACCUGCCUUCAGGAUGGGGACAACAGACGGAAACGACUGCUAAUACCGAAUAAGUUCCAAGAGCCGCAUGGCCCAUGGAAGAAAAGGUGGCCUCUACCUGUAAGCUAUCGCCUGAAGAGGGGUUUGCGUCUGAUUAGCUGGUUGGAGGGGUAACGGCCCACCAAGGCGACGAUCAGUAGCCGGUCUGAGAGGAUGAACGGCCACACUGGAACUGAGACACGGCCCAGACUCCUACGGGAGGCAGCAUG
rnacentral:rRNA from 1 species